GACAGAGGUGCCGAGCGUUAGGCGAAAUCACUGGGCUUAAAGCGUGUGUAGGCGGGUCGUUAAGUGUCUUGUGAAAUCCCCCGGCUCAACCGGGGAAUGGCUGGGCAUACUGGCGAUCUUGAGCAGUCUAGGGGCAGAUGGAACAAGUGGUGGAGCGGUGAAAUGCGUAGAUAUCACUUGGAACGCCAAAGGUGAAAACAGUCUGCUGGGGACUUGCUGACGCUGAGACACGAAAGCCAGGGGAGCGAACGGG
rnacentral:rRNA from 1 species